CCCUUAGAUGUUCUGGGCGGCCCGCGCACUACAUUGGCACUGGCAACAAGAUCCUAGAUCUGAUAUUUCGGGGUAUUCUACCAACUGGUGUCGUGACUGGGAUUAACCCCUGCAAUUGUUGGUUAUGAACGAGGAAUUCCUUGUAAUCACGGUUUAUCAACCCGUGUUGAAUGCGUCCCUGCCCUUUGUACACACCGCCCGUCGCUCCUACCGAUGAAUCGUCCGGUGAAGUUCAUGGAGUCGCGGCUGCUCCAGCUGUUUUCGAAGUGAAAUGGACCUCAUGAUUUAGAGGAAGGAGAAGUCGUAACA
rnacentral:rRNA from 1 species